AAGUCGUAACAAGGUUUCCGUAGGUGAACCUGCGGAAGGAUCAUUACUGAGCCUGGGUGCUUCGGCGCCCGACCUCCAACCCUUUGUUUACCUUACCACUGUUGCCUCGGCGCUCGGGGGAAACCCCUUCGCCGGUGGCCUUAACAAAAACCCUUUGCAAACCCAGUCUUCUGAGAAAUUAUUUAAUAACUUCAAAA
rnacentral:misc_RNA from 1 species